UCCAGAGCCCACACAAUUAAAAACACAACACAGCAUGAAGCCUAAGAAAGAAAUGUAACUAGAAUGUCAUAAGUAAAAGCUGUUGCUUAACUGAACUAAUCAUACCAUGAUGAACUAUAAAUCAACUUUAGACCUAAAGACUAAAUUCUGGGUUAUAUAUUUAGAGAAGCAGAAUGAAUUCAGCGGCAUGGAACUUGGCGUUUUGGUUAGAUCUCUCUAAGCAGAACUUCCACCAGUGCUUCAUAUAAACAUGUACAAUUAAACCAGGGAUGCCCAAUCAAGAUCCAGCCAAUGGAACUGUGUCAUCCACCGACCUGGAUAUUUCACAGCAGGGGAGUGGUAGCAGCAUUAGGAACUGCUGCUCCCAGAGCUGUGGCAAUUAAUGUUGCUGCUGCUCAUCCAACUACCAAAUUUCUGGAGCCUUGGGAAGCCCUGCGGGUCUAUGGACUGGCCCUAUGCCACUCAUCUGGCCUGUGGAUUACCUGGCAUUCUGGCUACAUUGUAAAUACAUUAAAAUUGAUUUACUGGUUUUGCUUUUUUUUUUUUUUUUUUGGUAUUUUAUAGA